rnacentral:tRNA from 1 species
AAGAGAGUAGUUUAAUUGGUAAAAUAACGGUCUCCAAAACCGUAUAUUAUGGGUUCAAGUCCCAUCUCUCUUG